ACGGUAACAUCGGUUUCUGCACGAUCUCCGAAGUUAAGCAACGUCGAGCCUGGUCAGUAUCUAGAUGGGUGACCGCUUGGUAAUACCACGUACUGUAAG